rnacentral:rRNA from 1 species
UACGAAGGGGGCUAGCGUUGUUCGGAUUUACUGGGCGUAAAGCGCACGUAGGCGGAUCGUUAAGUCGGGGGUGAAAUCCUGGAGCUCAACUCCAGAACUGCCUUCGAUACUGGCGAUCUUGAGUCCGGAAGAGGUGAGUGGAACUGCGAGUGUAGAGGUGAAAUUCGUAGAUAUUCGCAAGAACACCAGUGGCGAAGGCGGCUCACUGGCCCGAUACUGACGCUGAGGCACGAAAGCGUGGGGAGCAAACAGG